CCUACGGGAGGCAGCAGUGGGGAAUAUUGCACAAUGGGGGAAACCCUGAUGCAGCGACGCCGCGUGAGUGAAGAAGUAAUUCGUUAUGUAAAGCUCUAUCAGUAGGGAAGAAAAUGACGGUACGUGAGUAAGAAGCCCCGGCUAACAAAGUGCCAGCAGCCGCGGGAAUACGUAGGGGGCAAGCGUUAUCCGGAUUUACCGGGUGUAAAGGGAGCGUAGACGGCAGUGCAAGUCUGGAGUGAAAGGCGGGGGCUCAACCCCCGGACUGCUCUGGAAACUGUACGGCUGGAUGGCAGGAGAGGUAAGUGGAAUUCCUAGUGUAGCGGUGAAAUGGGUAGAUAUUAGGAGGAACACCAGUGGCGAAGGCGGCUUACUGAACUGUAACUGACGUUGAGGCUCGAAAGCGUGGGGAGCAAACAGGAUUAGAUACCCCGAGUAGUC
rnacentral:rRNA from 1 species